rnacentral:lncRNA from 1 species
GUGUGUGUGUGUGUGUGUACAUACAUACAUUCAUAUAGGAAUAUGUAGAAGUCAUUUUUAAAAAAAUUUUAACAAAAAGAUUUGAAAAUAUCAUAAAGAAUAAAAUGAAGUAUAUCCAUUUUUCAUUUUUGAUCAAAGAAAAAAGUAUUGAUUUUUUGUAAAAAGAAUUAAUUGUUAGAAUAUAAAAUAUCAUGAUAUACAUCAAAUAGAAAUUGUUGC